ACUCCUACGGGAGGCAGCAGUGGGAAUAUUGCACAAUGGGCGCAAGCCUGAUGCAGCCAUGCCGCGUGUGUGAAGAAGGCCCUUCGGGUUGUAAAGCACUUUCAGUUCGGUGAAGGAAGGUGGUAGGUGUUAAUAGCACAUAUCAUUGACGUUAGCGACAGAAGAAGCACCGGCUAACUCCGUGCCAGCAGGCCGCGGUAAUACGGAGGGUGCGAGCGUUAAUCGGAAAUUACUGGGCGUAAAGC
rnacentral:rRNA from 1 species